GAUGAACGCUGGCGGCGUGCCUAAUACAUGCAAGUCGAGCGAACAGACGAGGAGCUUGCUCCUCUCACGUUAGCGGCGGACGGGUGAGUAACACGUGGAUAACCUACCUAUAAGACUGGGAUAACCUCGGGAAACCGGAGCUAAUACCGGAUAAUAUCUUGAACCGCAUGGUUCAAUAGUGAAAGACGGUUUUGCUGUCACUAAUAGAUGGAUCCGCGCCGCAUUAGCUAGUUGGUAAGGUAACGGCUUACCAAGGCAACGAUGCGUAGCCGACCUGAGAGGGUGGUCGGCGACACUGGAACUGAAACGCGGACCAGACGCCUACGGGAGGCAGCAGUAGGGAAUCGUCCGCAAUGGGCGAAAACAUGACGGAGCAACGCCGCGUGAGUGAUGAAGGUCUUCGGAUCGUAAAACUCUGUUAUUAGGGAAGGACAAAUGUGUAAGUAACUAUGCACGUCUUGACGGUACCUAAUCAGAAAGCCACGGCUAACUACGUG
rnacentral:rRNA from 1 species